rnacentral:rRNA from 1 species
GACGAACGCUGGCGGCGUGCUUAACACAUGCAAGUCGAACGAACAGGCCCUGCUUUUGUUCGUUUCUCGAUUGCCGAACGCGUGUGUAUCACGUGUGUAUCCUCCCCUUAUCUUUGUGAUAUCUUCUGGAAACUCGGGCUCUUACCCCAUAUGAUCUCCUGCUCCAUGUUGUUGGUUGGAAAGAUUCGGCUGUUGUGUAUGUACUCGCUGCUUAUCAGCUUGUUAGUGUGGUAGUGGCUUACCAAGGCUUUGACGGGUAGCCGGCCUGAGAGGGUGACCGGCCACAUUGGGACUGAGAGAAGGCACAGAAUGCUACGGGAGGCAGAAGGGGGAAAUAUUGAAGAAUGGACGGAAGCCUGAUGAAGAAACGCCGCGUGCGGGAUAACGGCCUUAGGGUGGUAAACCGAUUUCGCAUGUAACGAAGCGUGAGUGAAGGUAAUGGGUAAAGAAGCACCGGCUAAAUAAGUG